UACGUAGGUGGCAAGCGUUGUCCGGAAUUAUUGGGCGUAAGCGCGCGCAGGCGGUCCUUUAAGUCUGAUGUGAAAGCCCACGGCUCAACCGUGGAAGGUCAUUGGAAACUGGAGGACUUGAGUACAGAAGAGGAAAGCGGAAUUCCACGUGUAGCGGUGAAAUGCGUAGAGAUGUGGAGGAACACCAGUGGCGAAGGCGGCUUUCUGGUCUGUAACUGACGCUGAGGCGCGAAAGCGUGGGGAGCAAACAGG
rnacentral:rRNA from 1 species